rnacentral:rRNA from 1 species
ACGUAGGAGGCAAGCGUUAUCCGGAUUUACUGGGCGUAAAGGGCGUGCAGGCGGUUGGCUAAGUUCGUUGUGAAAGCGCCCAGGCUUAACCGGGCGAGGACAAUUAAGACUGGUCAGCUAGAGGACGGUAGAGGGGUGUGGAAUUCCGGGUGUAGUGGUGAAAUGCGUAGAGAUCCGGAGGAACACCGGAGGUGAAGACGGCUUUCUGGACCAUAACUGACGCUGAGGCACGAAAGCGUGGGUAGCAAACAG